rnacentral:ncRNA from 9 species
CCUAUCAAUUUCGGCGACGGUUCCCUUCGGGGAUCAAAAGGGAAUGCGGUGCGAGGGUAACCCAAUGCCGCAGCUGUCCCCGCAACUGUAAACGGCGAGCCUUUCGUCAAUUUGCCACUGGGCUACUCAGCUCGGGAAGGCGUCAACAGGCGAUGACCCGUGAGCCAGGAGACCUGCCGUCAGUCGUGGUCACACG